rnacentral:rRNA from 1 species
AAAGGAAUUGACGGGGGCCCGCACAAGCGGUGGAGCAUGUGGUUUAAUUCGAAGCAACGCGAAGAACCUUACCAAGGCUUGACAUGGAAAUGACCGCUUCAGAGAUGAAGCUUCCCUUCGGGGCAUUUCACACAGGUGGUGCAUGGUUGUCGUCAGCUCGUGUCGUGAGAUGUUGGGUUAAGUCCCGCAACGAGCGCAACCCUUACGUUCAGUUGCCAGCAAGUAAAGUUGGGCACACUGGAGGGACUGCCGUGGAGAACACGGAGGAAGGUGGGGAUGACGUCAAAUCAUCAUGCCCCUUAUGUCUUGGGCUACACACGUGCUACAAUGGGGCAAACAAAGUGAAGCAAAGCGGCGACGCGGAGCGAAACACCAAAAAGCCCCCCAGUUCGGAUUGCAGGCUGCAACCCGCCUGCAUGAAGUUGGAAUCGCUAGUAAUCGCGAAUCAGCAUGUCGCGGUGAAUACGUUCCCGGGCCUUGUACACACCGCCCGU